ensembl:snRNA LOC120094411 U6 spliceosomal RNA
GCCAUACCUGAACAUAGCACAAUAAAAAAUACAUUACAGAGAAGAUUAGCACGGCCCCUGCGCAAGGAUGACAUGCAAAUUCGUGAAGCGUUCUAAAAAAAA